UACGUAGGUGGCAAGCGUUGUCCGGAUUUACUGGGCGUAAAGAGCGCGCAGGCGGUCGUCCAAGUCGAAUGUGAAAGCCCCCCGGCUCAACUGGGGAGGGUCAUUCGAUACUGUUCGACUCGAAGGCAGGAGAGGGAAGUGGAAUUCCGGGUGUAGUGGUGAAAUGCGUAGAUAUCCGGAGGAACACCAGUGGCGAAGGCGAACUUUCUGGCCUGUUCUUGACGCUGAGGCGCGAAAGCUAGGGGAGCAAACGGGG
rnacentral:rRNA from 1 species